GACGGACGCUGGCGGCGUGCUUAACACAUGCCAGUCGAGCGGUAAGGCCCUUCGGGGUCCACGAGCGGCGAACGGGUGAGUAACACGUGAGUAAUCUGCCCAUCACUUCGGGAUAACUCCGGGAAACCGGUGCUAAUACCGAAUAUGACCACUUCAGGCAUCUGAUGGUGGUGGAAAGUUCCGGCGGUGAUGGAUGAGCUCGCGGCCUAUCAGCUUGUUGGUGGGGUAGUGGCCUACCAAGGCUUCGACGGGUAGCCGGCCUGAGAGGGUGACCGGCCACACUGGGACUGAGACACGGCCCAGACUCCUACGGGAGGCAGCAGUGGGGAAUAUUGGACAAUGGGCGAAAGCCUGAUCCAGCAACGCCGCGUGAGGGAUGACGGCCUUCGGGUUGUAAACCUCUUUCAGCAGGGACGAAGCGCAAGUGACGGUACCUGCAGAAGAAGCACCGGCCAACUACGU
rnacentral:rRNA from 1 species